GGGGGCGUAGUUCAAUUGGUUAGAGCGCCGGCCUGUCACGCCGGAGGUUGCGGGUUCGAGCCCCGUCGCUCCCG
rnacentral:tRNA from 1 species